rnacentral:ncRNA from 2 species
ACAAAUUGUAGAGGUGCAAAUGCGAUAAUUACUUUUUCAGAGUGGAAAACGAUGAAGAGAAAGGAAAGGCGUAUUUGCCGAAAUCAAUUAAGCGUCAUCUUAAUUGGUUGGUGUCGUUACCGAAAGGAACGAUACUGUCACGGAUUUACCGUGGAGUGCUACUGUUAGG